CAGUAAAGCUGCUGCGGAAUUCUUUCCUUGUGAUCGAUCGGUCGAGGCACACCGAAGAUGGAAUACCCUAACGCUUCUAAUGUUAACUGAGGAGAAUCAUACUUUUAAGGCAAGAACUUGAUCUUCGACUGAUUAUUACAGCUAUAUGAUAUGGUGUUCCGAUCCGGACGGACAGACUAUCGACUAGGCUGUUGAAACUAAUCCAGCCUAUAUAUAUAUAUACACCUUAUAGGGCAUGCAGAUGUCUCAUGCUAUGCGUUGCACACUUCAUGACAAAGGCGCCAUUCUCUCUGUAAGCGUAUGCACAGCUCCGACUAACUAUACCCCAUUCAAAAGCCAAAAGCCUUCAAAAUGAACAACCCAGAAAAGCACAGUUCCCAGAAGCCUUUGAAUACGACUGCGAAGCGGGUUUGAACCGUGCUGGUUCAAACUCGAUAAGUCGAUUCUCUUUCUUACUAUUGACUGAAACUUAAGCCCAACUGGAAACCCCAACUGAACCAUAUAGAUAUAUAUAU